UAGGGCGGUCAUAGUGGCAUGGUCACAUCCGAUCUCAUUUCGAACUCGGAAAUUAAGAAUGCCCACGUUCCAUAUAGUACUGUACUCCGUACGGGAAGUAUGGUUAGCUGCCCGCC
rnacentral:rRNA from 1 species